CAAUAGCGUAUAUUAAAGUUGUUGCGGUAAAAAAGCUCGUAGUUGGAUUUCUGUUGAGGACGACCGGUCCGUACCAUGUACGCGCAUCUGGUUCGGCCUCGGCAUCCUCUCGAUAGACGUUUCUGCGCUUGAUUGCGUGGAGCGGAUUUCGGGACUUUUACUUUGAGGAAAUUAGAGUGUUCACGGCAGGCUAUCGCCAGAAUACAUUAGCAUGGAAUAAUACUAUAGGAUCUCGGUUCUAUUUUGUUGGUUUCUAGACCCGGGGUAAUGAUUAAUAGGGACAAUUGGGGGCAUUUGUAUCAACACGUCAGAGGUGGAAUUCUUGGAUUGUGUUGCGACAAACUACUGCGAAAGCAUUUGCCAAGGAUGUUUUCAUUGA
rnacentral:rRNA from 1 species